rnacentral:rRNA from 1 species
AUGUUGGCCGGGCGACGGUUGUCCCGGUUUAAGCGUGUAGGCUGGUUUUCCAGGCAAAUCCGGAAAAUCAAGGCUGAGGCGUGAUGACGAGGCACUACGGUGCUGAAGCAACAAAUGCCCUGCUUCCAGGAAAAGCCUCUAAGCAUCAGGUAACAUCAAAUCGUACCCCAAACCGACACAGGUGGUCAGGUAGAGAAUACCAAGGCGCUUGAGAGAACUCGGGUGAAGGAACUAGGCAAAAUGGUGCCGUAACUUCGGGAGAAGGCACGCUGAUAUGUAGGUGAAGUCCCUUGCGGAUGGAGCUGAAAUCAGUCGAAGAU